AGGCUUCUGUGUUGCUUGUACUUUGCCCUUGCUUUUUGACGAAAAGCGAUGUUCGUACCUUAGUAUGCUCCAAAAAUAUUAAAACUAUAAACUCAUACCGGUUCUAGUUGGCGAUAAUGUAAAACUUUCUGUCAAAUGGGACUGUUGAGCCAUACGUUUUGACGGACCACAAGGAGCUACUGCUGGUGAUACUAGAUGGUAUGGCUUCGAUUCAAGGCAUGUGGAGGACGGACUGUUGUUGUACGUAAUGACACAGUUCUUUUAACUUAUGGUAAAAAUCCAAAACAUUAAGGAUGAUACAAUGAAGCCUGAAUUUGGGAGCUGUAACUGUACUUUUCAAGAUCUGUCGCUGUCUCAUAAGCAAUUUCGUCCAGAUGAUGCAGACUAUAUUCAAAAGAUGAAAUUAUGUUUUCGGGGACCAUAAACAGUUCAUGCAACUCAAUUCGGUUUGAAUUUACGCAUGCAAAUAAGAUGUAACAUAAAUUAAGAAAAAAAAAAAAGAGAAAGGUGUCACAUGUGUAAUACAAAACCAACUCAAAUGUUAUAAUUAAUACUACUACUAGUUCAUCUAACAAUUCACAACUGUAAAUAAUGAUUAUAUAGACUACUGAAAAUUAGUAUUUGUACACAAAUUCUACAAAUUCCUCAGAUUAUUUAUCGUAUUGUUUUCUUGAAAAAUGACUAUAUUUAUGAAUACGUGAUAAUGUUUACUUAAUUUUUUUCAAACAAUUAAAUUAAAUUGUAGUAUGAGAUUGUAAUGAAAAUAAC